rnacentral:lncRNA from 1 species
UUUCUUUGCUAGGGAGAUUCUUUUGGUUUUUUCACCUUCGCAUUUCCCAAGGGCCAGUUAUUUUCUUAAAUUCAGACUGGUGAGGUGUCUUCAGUUAAAAGCUCUCAAAAGAAAGGGUAUAUACCAAAUUAUGCACACCCCUAGCUGCAAGCAUCAGUUAGCCUUAUGAGAUAUAGAAGAAAAACCAUAAAGAUGGAAUUUUUCCCAAUAUCUCGCAGACCCAUCUGAGCGGCCAUGCCAAGAUAGAGUUUUUUUUCCAGCUCAAUAGAAAAAUAUGUCUGAUUCAUCUUCCACAAAAUAAUAAUAAUAAUAAUCAUAGCUUCAUCGUACAUAAAAUGAAAGAGAGAGAGAGUAACAAGAAAUUGAGGCUCAGAUUUGUGUAAUAACCUCAGGUAAAAAGAGACUCCAACGACACCAUGGCUGCAAAAACCCACUGGGAGCAUGCGCCGCCAAGAUACGGGUCGGGUUAUCUCAAAAUGCCCCGAUUGAUUAAUAAGCUCAGAAGGGAAUGACAAAAUCAUCAUCGCCUCUUUAUAGCCGCCUAUUUUACUCACCACCACCGCUUCCACCAGCUCCGCCGGCAGCAUUGAAUGCUCCGGCGAAAGCAUUAAAAAAAGAAGAAAGAGAAAAACAAAGAGUGGAAGGGCUGUUACUAAUGCUAUUCUUAUACACUCGACCAAACGACCCCUUAAUAAAAUUGAUAAAAAGGGCUGUUGUUUGGAUUUUUAUAUGGAGAAAGUCAAUGACUAAUUGCAGAGAGAGAGGCGCAACCGCCCUUUCAGAAAGUCCUCAAAACUCUCUGUAGCCUCAUUCUUUCCUUUCUAAGCUUUUUGUCACGGGCUUAGAGUCCGGCGCAGCACACAAUCAAUGGCUAAUUGCAGAGAGAGAGGCGCAACCGCCCUUUCAGAA